GAUGAACGCUAGCGGCAGGCCUAAUACAUGCAAGCUGAACGGUAAAUGUUAUAGCAAUAUAAUAUGAGAGUAGCGUAAGGGUGCGUAACACGUAUGCAAUCUACCCGCAACAGGAGGAUAGCUCCCCGAAAGGGGAAUUAAUACUCCAUAAGAUCACGAGAGGGCAUCUGCUUGUGAUUAAACUCCAAGGGGUUGCGGAUGAGCAUGCGUCUGAUUAGUUAGUUGGUGAGGUAACGGCUCACCAAGACGAUGAUCAGUAGGUGAACUGAGAGGUUGAUCCCCCACACUGGCACUGAGAUACGGGCCAGACUCCUACGGGAGGCAGCAGUAGGGAAUAUUGGUCAAUGGGUGAGAGCCUGAACCAGCCAUGCCGCGUGCAGGAAGACGGCCUUCUGGGUUGUAAACUGCUUUUAUCUGGGGAUAAAAUAUCCUUGCGAGGAGAAUUGAAGGUACCAGAGGAAUAAGCCACGGCUAACUACGUGCCAGCCGCCGCCGUAACAC
rnacentral:rRNA from 1 species